GGCUGUGGUAGCUCAGUGGUUAGGACGUUGGGCGACUGAUGGGGAGGUCAUGGGUUCAAUCCCCAGCACUGUCA